AUGAGCUGUUCUUCCAGCACCCACCAACAACGGAAGAUCCCCCGAGAUCUUAUCCUGGGACGCUCUUUCAUGGAAAGUGGCAGUCCCAUUUUCAAAGUGGUGAAGAGCCGCCGGCGAAAGUUCUCCGUCACAAACUGCCAUGAGAGGACCGGCCAAGAUGGUGACCACGGCGACAGGAAGAAAAAGCAUAGAGAGAUGGAGAGGCAAAGGCGGCAAGAAAUGGCUUCACUCUGCGAGGUUCUUAGAUCCGAACUGCCCCUCGAAUUCAUCAAGGGGAAGCGUUCGAUGUCGGAUCACAUGAGCGAGGCCGUGAAUUACAUCAAACAUCUGCAGGGGAAGAUUAGAGAGCUGAGCUUCAAGAGAGACGAGCUCAAGAACAUAUAUAGCUUGGCUUCCCUGGACUCUCCUAGCUCCGAUUCUUCAUGGUCGACCUCGUUUACGGUCAAUUCAUGCUGCGACAGUGUGGAGGUCGUGAUCUGCCGAAGCAUCAGGGAUAAGCAUUUGCUGUUAUCUACUGUAAUAGAGCUACUGCUUCAGCAAGGACUUGACGUUGUUAGCUGUUUUUCCAGUCUAGCGUAUGAUGGGAUAGUCCACACAAUCCACUGCGAGCUGGCCUAUGGGAACGGAAGUUUCGAUUUGACCCGCUUGAAGGGGGAACUCAAGGAACUGCUCAAUCCAUUGGGGAACCCGUGAUUGCAAUGCGCAAGUAAUCUAACACGUGACUACCGAGAUUGUUGUAAUACUAAAGACGAUUUGCGACCCUUAUGGCGAUUGAUUUCCUAGAGCAACGCAUUUCGAAGGAUGAGGCCUCCUGCUUGUUUUUUACUCAGUUUCUGAUAUAGCAUAAGAUUUAGGAGGUUUUCAAGACUCUUCUGUCACUCGCAUCAUUCGUUGAUGAGCAACAAUGGUUUAUGAAGGCGAUGGAGAAAAUAUGAUGCUCUAUUCAUACUUAAUUGUUUCCAUGUA